GUGUCAGCAGCCGCGGUAAUACGUAGGUGGCAAGCGUUGUCCGGAUUUACUGGGCGUAAAGAGCGCGCAGGCGGUCGUUCAAGUCGCGUGUGAAAGCCCCCGGCUCAACUGGGGAGGGUCACGCGAUACUGAUCGACUCGAAGGCAGGAGAGGGUAGUGGAAUUCCCGGUGUAGUGGUGAAAUGCGUAGAUAUCGGGAGGAACACCAGUGGCGAAGGCGACUACCUGGCCUGUUCUUGACGCUGAGGCGCGAAAGCUAGGGGAGCAAACGGGAUUAGAAACCCCCGUAGUCC
rnacentral:rRNA from 1 species